GGCCUGGAUAGCUCUGUUGGUUAGAGCGUGGCGCUAUUAAUUUCAAGGUUGCAGGUUCGAUCCCUGUAUGGGUCA